rnacentral:lncRNA from 1 species
CAAUUAUUGAUGUUCUGAACAAAGGAUUUGUUUCCUAACCACUUUGCCCCACCCAAAAGCCCAUGAGUUCUGCAAACAUUUUCUCUACAAGACUGUGCAAGUCAAGUUCCAGAUCGCUACCACCAGGAGGUCUAUCUGCAUCUCUAAGGUUGUGUGGAAAGUAGUCUGCAGAGGGUAACACGAGACAUCACAGAGAGUGUUUCUAUGUUAGUGGGCUUGGGUCCCAUUGGUCUGAUCCAUCUGCCUCCCUCUCUGCCUCUCUGCCUUCCCCUGCAGGGCCAGGUGAGCGCUGCUGGCUUAUUACGAUUCGUAUGUGCGUCUCUCUGCAGAUGUGGCCUCUCUGUCAAAGGCUUCUUUCAGCACCCCAAAACAUUCUUGGAAACCAGCUCCCAACCUGUUGUACUCUGAAUGGGAUUAGUAAAACAGCCAUCCAGACAAAAGCAGGGAAAUGUUUUCCUCACCCAAGAAUGAAGAUUUCUUAAAGAAGACAUGUGAGAUGUAAACAGAAGUUUUUCUUUUGUUCCGACCCCUGGCCUCAAAUAAACACUCAGAACCUUAUAUUAAUUACA